rnacentral:misc_RNA from 1 species
CAGUGAUGCUUGUUCCAUCCAAGAUGUAUGCAGAUCAUAUCAAGGGAUUGAUGAUAUUAAGUUGCAAAUGUCUGAACUACCCCUUGACAGCAUUCCUCUCUGGGUGCAGAAAAUACUGCAGUUUCAGCUUAUAUGGAGCUUUUUGUCCAAGGAUCUCACACCAAGAUUGUGCAAGCUGACGGAUAAAGCUCACUGCCAUUAUUAUUUUUGUGGUUCAUAGCCCAAAAUGUGGAAAGAAUG